CCUUAUUAAGAGCGGCAGAGGGAAUAGGCCCAGUGAAGCCCGGCAACCUAGAUGUUUCUCGAAAACAGAAAAGGUGCUAAAUCCUACAGAAUAGUUUAUUCUGAAAGAUGAGG
rnacentral:ncRNA from 1 species